AUGACGCUGCGUCGAAGGCGUGUGGGUGGCGCCCGGCCGGAGGGGCCGAGAGGCGGGGGCGGCGCGGGGCGGGAGGAGGCAGAGGGCAGGGCAACACCCCUCCGCCCCCUCCCCCGCGCCUCUAUUCUCCCCCUCCCGACACCCCCUACCUUCCUCUCCUCCCUCCCCGCCCCCACAACUGGGCUGGUCCUCCUCCAUCCACUCCUCCCCCCAUUCACUCCUCCCCUCAAGCCCUCUCACCUCCCCUUCCCUCCCCCAUCCACUCCUCCCCACAUCCCCUCACCUCCCUGUCCCUCCCCGUGCCCCAAUCCCCGCAAACCUGGGCUGCUCCUGCCCCUUCCACGCCUUCCUGCUCCCUCCCUCCCUGUCCCCUUCCCCUCCUCCCCACCCCCAUCUCCCCUUUACCCUCUUUCUUCCCAAACCCCUCUUCCUUCCUCUCCUUCCCCACAGGCCACUUCUCCUUUCCCCCUCCUGGCCCCCUGUCUCCUCCUCCCAUCCCCCACCCCGGCUUUAGUCUCCCAUCCCCCCUACACCCCCUUGCCUCUGCCUCCUCACAGCCCCCUACUUAUCCUAUUGCCUCCCUCCUGGGGCCCCUUCAGAUCCCUAGGGCCUCUUUGUCUCUCUCUGUUUUCUCCCAUUCCAGCCCCUGAUGACCAGGCCCCGCACCUCUGCUGGGGUCUGCCGCACACAGUAAGCUGCCUGGGAGUCCUCAUUGCCUUCCUGGGCAACCCAGCUAAAGGCCGCCCAGCAGCUGCAGCCCUGGAGGUCAGCGCAGCCCUGGCUGACGUCAGGGGCCCCUCCUCACCGCCCACCUCUGCACCUUCCCCAUCCCUUUGCCUGGUGUCCGGGAAAGGCCCCGUAGGAUGGCAUUCCUUUCCCAGGGUCUCCCUCAGGAAAGAUGAGAGGAAGCAAAAGCUCAGUCUGCACACAGGGCUGGUCCUCCCGACGGCCACAUCCGCAGGGAUGACCCUCAGAGGUGCUCCCAACUGGCUGGGAGGUUCCUCCACCUGGGCGCUCUGCUACCCAGCCGGGUCAAGGACAAACAGCCAUGUACAAAAUGGCAAGAGGCGGACCUUCCAGAGCAUGUAUAUGUGCAUAUUCACUCCUUCAAACCUCACAACUCCAUCAGCCAGGCACUUUUAUUAUCCCCAUAUUACAGAUGACAAAUCUGAGACCAAAGAUGAAUCAGCUUGGCAGUGUUCACAGAGCCAGCCUGUGGAAAAGCCAGAAUCCAGAAUCCAGUCCCAGGCCCUGCCUGCAGCAUCCCGGCUCUUACUGACACCUAAACGGCCACUGCCUCUUGGCUUAGUGCUCUUCCUUCUAAAAACGAGUCUCACUCUGUCACCUAGGCUGGAGUGCAGUGGCAUGAUCAUAGCUCACUGUAGCCUCAAACUCCUGGACUGAAGUGAUCCUUUUGCCUCAGCUUCCGAAAGUGCUGGGAUUUCAGGUAUGAGCCACUGCACCCAGCAGCGAUCACAUUUUUAAUUUGUAAGAGCUCUUUAUCAUCCUCUGAUUAUUUCUACUUCACGUCGUCCUGUUCUUUUUCAUAGAUACGUAUCUUUUUUUUAAAUCUCUGAGACUAUCAGUUAAAAAUACACAUAAAAAUUUUAAGUUUAUUUUUACAUCAUCUCUGUUUCCUUUGGCUCAUUUUUUUUGUUUGUUUGUUUUGGUCUCCCUCUUUCAUGUGGGAUACUUUUUGCAAAUUUCUGGUGAUCCUGGGUUAUCUAGUCAUAUCUAACAGUGAGGCAUCACAAUGUUUGGUGACUCUGUUAUGUGGGCAGAUAUUUGACUGGGAGUUCUCAAUCUCAGGCUAUUUCAUUAGGAAACCAUAGAAGUCUAUCCUUCAGAGGUCGGUAAAGGGUGGGUUUGAGACGUUUGGGUGGGGGCAUUUUGACAGCAUGGCUUCUCCUUUGGCAUGUUUAAUUGUGAUGUUUGACAGACAUCCUUGUAGUCAAAGAUGACACUUUUAAAAUACAUUAUCUCCUAAUGAUGGCUUGGGCCCUGUCACUCAAUGGGAGAAUCAGCAGAACCUAUAGGAUCUUAUGUGGAAUUGAUAUUCUCUGUUGUAAUUUUGUUCCUGUUUAUUUUAAAAUUUUCUUUGUGUUUCACCAGAAAAGAAAGAUGAUGCUCAGUUUUAAAUUUAACAGUGCACAAGUUGCUUUGUUACAAUAAAACCCAAUGUGUACUCACACACAAAAAGUCCAUCUUCAGGGGACUUUUCUCUGGAGCUGAUAAAUCUUUUUUCAGUGAAGAAUCCUCCAAUCUUCUAGCCAGGGGACAUAUACCUGACAGUCAUUUUCUGGGAAUGGGGUAAGGGAGGAAGCCUGGCAGUGGGCUCCACUAUGAACAGGAAGACUUAAACCUAAUCCUCCAUUAGGGCAGCCAGACACUGCCCUACUGUUGCUGGGAUCCCUGAACCUGAGGGUGCUCUGGUUCUAUUUCUCUAGAGAAAAAAACCUCCAGUCAAGUGCAAGGACAUAGUUGCCUGACUAUAUGGGAUUGGGAGGGGAUAUGGAGUUGUAAUUUCUUCAUAUAUUUCUUUCAACUGUUUCCCUAUGGUUUAGCCUAUGCUUCCAACUCACUUCCUGCAGAAGCUGCUGCUUCCAAGUUCCCAGCUCUUGGAGCUCUCUGGGGAGAAUCUGCUCAGUCCUCACCAUCAGUGCCAUCCUUGGGCCUUUCAAGUCUUCCUGUUCUCCACUCUGCUAAUUCAGUUACCACUAUGGCAGCCACUUUUAAUCAUCCCCAGAUUUGCUGUUAUUUUGUCCACUGAGGUCCUCACUCCCAUUCUCUGAAUUCUCAUGGGUUUACGCUUUUGUGGGGUCUUUGGAGAAAAGGGAGAUAAAGAUAUAUGGUCAAUUUCUUAUCUCCAGUAUCUCUGACACCACCUGCUGUCAGCCACACACUUUUAAAACUAGAAUUUAUUUUUUUAAUUUCAAUUUUAUUUUUAAAUUGGUAAAUAAUUGUAUAUAAAGGGUACAAUGUAAUUUUUAUAUAUUUAUAUAUAUAAAUAUAUAUAGCACUUGUCUAUACAUGUAUUGUACAAUGUGUAUACACACACACACAUUGUACAAUACAUGUAUAUACAAGUACUAUACACACACAUUGUGGAAUGAUUAUAUCAAGCUGAUUAACACAUUCAUCACCUCACAUACUUAUUUUUUGCAGAACAUUUACAAUCAAUUCUUCUAGCAAUUUACAUGAUGAUUAACUAUGGUCAUCAUGCUGUGGAACAGAGCUUUCUUUCUCCCAUCUGAAACUUCAUACCCUUAGGUCAACAUCUCCUUCCUCGCCUUCCCAGCCUCUGGUAACCACCAUUCUACUCUCUAAAGUAGGAAUUUAUUUUAAAUGUUCCCUAAACAUUUAUUUCAAGCAUCCAAGAUUCCAUAAAAGUCUUUAUGUCACCUUCUCCUUAAAGGUCUUGAUCUAUUCCCAGGCUUCACUUGGCCAAACUAAAACCUCAGUUCUCACGUUGAUGUCCUCACCAGGCUCUGAGUCCUCUGGUCCUUUUUCUCUGGCCUCCCUUCAGUUGUCCUUCUGGAGGUCUACUGACAAGAAAUGCAGUCAUCCUAGGCACUCCCUGGAUGACAAAAUCCUCUUGUACAAAUAUCUAUGCCCUAAGUGGUUGCCCAGGCAGGGUAAAAGGCAAGGCGUGCCUUUGGUGGGAGAGCGUGUUCUCCACAUUCUUCCCCACUGUGGACAAAGUUCUCAGAAGCCACUUUGGCUGCAAAAAAGUAUCCCUUAAAUGGUGUGUUCUCACAUCACCACGCACCACAUUGCCCAAGGGAACACUGCUAUAAUUAGCACAUGGGCUCCUCACCAGUCCAUCACAUUCUAGUAAACCCAGAUGUAAGGGAG
ensembl:lncRNA